CCUGCGGAGGGAUCAUUACCGAGUUUACAACUCCCAAACCCAAUGUGAACCAUACCAAACUGUUGCCUCGGCGGGGUCACGCCCCGGGUGCGUCGCAGCCCCGGAACCAGGCGCCCGCCGGAGGGACCAACCAAACUCUUUACUGUAGUCCCCUCGCGGACGUUAUUUCUUACAGCUCUGAGCAAAAAAUUCAAAAUGAAUCAAAACUUUCAACAACGGAUCUCUUGGUUCUGGCAUCGAUGAAGAACGCAGCGAAAUGCGAUAAGUAAUGUGAAUUGCAGAAUUCAGUGAAUCAUCGAAUCUUUGAACGCACAUUGCGCCCGCCAGUAUUCUGGCGGGCAUGCCUGUCCGAGCGUCAUUUCAACCCUCGAACCCCUCCGGGGGUCCGGCGUUGGGGAUCGGGAACCCCUCAGACGGGAUCCCGGCCCCGAAAUACAGUGGCGGUCUCGCCGCAGCCUCUCCUGCGCAGUAGUUUGCACAACUCGCACCGGGAGCGCGGCGCGUCCACGUCCGUAAAACACCCAACUUUCUGAAAUGUUGACCUCGGAUCAGGUAGGAAUACCCGCUGAA
rnacentral:rRNA from 1 species